rnacentral:rRNA from 1 species
AUGCCAGACAUGGACGGCUUCAAGCUUCUCGAGCUCAUCCGCCUCGAGAUGGAUCUACCGGUCAUCAUGCUAUCCGUCGAUUGCGACAAGAAGGUUGCGAUGAAGGGGAUAUAUCAUGGCGCGUCCGACUUUAUGGUGAAGCCAGUGCGUACACAUGAGCUCAAAAACAUAUGGCAAUAUGUUCAAAGGUGGAGAAAUCCCAAAGCAAUAAGCCACAUCAGCGAUCAUGACAGUGAUGUGCAAAGAGUUCAACCAGCGACUGCUGACAAGAGUAAGUACUCGCGGAAUAAGACAAAUGUUGGAGAUGAUUCUAGCGAGAACAAUGAGAGCACAUAUAUAUCUGCCACCCACAGAAAGCCCAGGGUGACAUGGACAAUUCAGCUGCAUAACAAGUUUCUAGAAGCUAUCAACCAGAUCAGCCUUGAUAGGGCUGUUCCAAAAAAGGUAUUGGAGCUGAUGAAUGUGGAUUACCUCAGUAGAGAGAAUAUGAAGUAUAGAUUGCACUUAAAAAGAGUCAAGUCAAAUCCCUCUCGUGAUGCAUAUGAAAGAAGGAACUCAUCGUACAACAUGAACAACAAGGUUAAUUUCAUGCAUAAUCAUGAACAUGGAAGAUGGAGUGUGUCCUCUGGCAACACUGCCUCUUGGAGUACAAACAAUUAUGGUGCAACGGGUCACUUGGCUCCGCCGAUGAACAUCCAAAGCAACUUCAACAUGGGGUCAUACCUCCAUGAUAGUAGAAUUCCGAGGUGA